AACGACUCUCGACAACGGAUAUCUCGGCUCUCGCAUCGAUGAAGAACGUAGCGAAAUGCGAUACUUGGUGUGAAUUGCAGAAUCCCGUGAACCAUCGAGUCUUUGAACGCAAGUUGCGCCCGAAGCCAAUAGGUCGAGGGCACGUCUGCCUGGGUGUCACAC
rnacentral:rRNA from 1 species